rnacentral:rRNA from 1 species
AACGUAGGUGGCGAGCGUUAUCCGGAAUUACUGGGCGUAAAGCGUGUGCAGGCGGGCAACCAAGUGGUGUAUGCAAUCUCCCGGCUCAACCGGGAAGGGUUAUGCCAGACUGGUUGUCUUGAGUGCGAGAGAGGAAUGUGGAAUUCCGGGUGUAGUGGUGAAAUGCGUAGAUAUCGGGAGGAACACCUGUGGCGAAGGCGACCCCCUGGUUGGAUACUGACGCUGAGACGCGAAAGCGUGGGGAGCAAACAGG